GUAGGUGGCAAGCGUUGUCCGGAAUUAUUGGGCGUAAAGCGCGCGCAGGUGGUUCUUUAAGUCUGAUGUGAAAGCCCCCGGGCUCAACCGGGGAGGGUCAUUGGAAACUGGGGAACUUGAGUGCAGGAGAGGAAAGUGGAAUUCCACGCGUAGCGGUGAAAUGCGUAGAUAUGUGGAGGAACACCAGUGGCGAAGGCGACUUUCUGGCCUGUAACUGACACUGAGGCGCGAAAGCGUGGGGAGCAAACAGGAUUAGAUACCCUGGUAGUCCACGCCGUAAACGAUGAGUGCUAAGUGUUGGGGGGUUUCCGCCCCUCAGUGCUGCAGCUAACGCAUUAAGCACUCCGCCUGGGGAGUACGGUCGCAAAGACUG
rnacentral:rRNA from 1 species